GCCGCCAUGUUGUGGAGGCGGCGGGAGCGGCAGCGGGAGCGGCCGGCAGGGGCGGAGGAGCAUGCACGGCGCGGAGCAGCGGCCCGCGGGCGCGCACCCUGACCAGUGGGUGCUCAUUGCACCAGAGGCUGCUACUGACCCCCCUAAGACACCUGACAGCGAACCUAUGUUUACAAAACUACGCAAUCCAAGCACAGGGGAAGCAACUCUUUACUUAUUCAAUAGUGGUGCACAGCAGCUGUUUGAAGUAAAAGCUUUUCAUGAGGAAUAUCGUUCCUGGUUUAUAGGUGAGACUGUUCAACAAGAUGGACGCCUGCUCUUUGUUACACCAAUGGACCCCUUAUUUCUGAUACUUUAUUAUCUCAUAAAGGCAGACAAAGAGCAGCAAGGAAAGUUCCAGCCACUGGAUCAAGUUGUGCUAGACUCAGAGUACCCUUAUUGCCCAUUGCUACUGAAGUGUGAAGGUGUUAAACGAUCUGUACGUCAUAUAACAGAAGAAAAAGAAAUAGGCAGUCAGAAAUUUCACAAGUACAGCCAAGAGAAGACACUGAAGUGGUUAAAAAAAAAGGUCAAUCAAACAGUGAAAGCACUUAAAAGCAACAAUAUAUGUGUAGGCGAAAGGAUAUAUUCAGCUACAUUUGUCAGCGGUAAACAAAUCACCGAUGCUGAAGAAGACUACGUGCGGUAUGCCCACGGGUUAAUAUCAGAAUAUAUUACUGAAGAGCUGAGUAAGGAGCUGUCAAAAUACCUAGGUCUCCCAGAACAUACAGUCCCAGGACCAGAGCCACCAUUGAAGAUGCCUGCACAAAAACAUCGAAAGAAGAAAUGAAAGGAGCGUAAGGAGACUUGCCUAUAUUAUUUUAACUUGCCAUAAUCUCAAAGCAGCUUUUAAAGGCUUUUUUAACGCACUUUCUGAAAAUAAAUGCUUAAAGUUAGACGUGCCCUGUUCCAAGAAAAAGCAAAUCUCAGCAGAUUAACAUUGUUAAAUAUGCGGUGUGUUAAACAUACAGUGCUUCAGAUUUUAUAGCUUAUCCACUAUUGGUCUAUCGGGUCCUUCCAGGAAAGCACUUACAAGCAUGCCUAAUGUUAAGCACAUGAGCAGUGAUCUUAAAGUCAGCAGUGUUGUUCGUGUGGAUAAGUGCUUUGUUGGACUAGCGCCUAAAGUCCUGUUAGGUGCUGAGCAUCCUGAUCCAUAUCCAGCAAAGCACUUAUGUCUAUGCUUAUCUUGAAGUGGAAGAGCUGGUCUAACUAAUAUUUGUGCAUUAGUGUUUGCCAUAAAACCUCUCUUGGCACGGUGACUCACAUGCUUAAAAUUAAGCACCUGCCUAUGUAUUUUGCAAGAUCAGACCAACAGCAUCCUUGAGCAAGUCCUAUAUAAUUACUUGAUUUUGUAUGAAUUUUCUGUUUUCUGGUUGUUUUUAACAGCAAAUGAUUUUACUGGCCAUAUUUUAAAGAUUUAGAAGUUGUGUAGCAAAAUGCUUUAUGCAAUUUUCACAUUUAUGUUUCAAAUUCUAGCCACAUUCAGCAAAAUGCUCUUUUGGACUAAAAGUCCAUUUGUUUAGAUUGGAAAUCAUCAAAAAAAUGAAACAUAUUAACUGUUUAUAUUUUAAGGACAUUUCAAUUUUUUUCCUUAAAUUCUUUUUCUUAAAUUCUUUUUCUUUCACUGAAUUUAAUCUGAAUGAUUUUGUCCAACCCCGUUCUGGUGUGCAGAAGAGGUUACCUAGCUCUGCCUGUGUGAGCAGGCUGAUUCUUGAGGUGCUAAGGCUUGAGCUAGGGGGUGUGUUCAGAAGAGCUAAUGGAGAAGUUGUAGUUUUAUUUUAUUCGUCCUGGGGGAAUGAAAGCUAAACAUGAUUAAAUCAACAUGCACAUUUUUUAAUGUUGAGAACAAAGCUGAAACCUAUAUAGUCCUUUAGGUAAAAACAAAAAAUAGGAGAGAUCUCAUUAUAUUAAUAUUAUUGUUCUGAAUGUAUGAAAGAUAUUUUCCAUGGGGUGAACUUCAACCAAAAUGUCAACCGGAGUUCACAUAAAACAUGGAGGAAAUGGAUGCAAAUGAGAUCCUUAAUGAUACGCCAGAUGCAGACUGACGUUUUUAACUUAAAUAACUUUAUCAAAUUGCCUUUGGUAUCUAAUUUUUUGUUAUAGAACUUUUAAAGUAACGAGGGACAGGAUUUUAAGCAUCAUGAAUGUUUAUUUCUAUACAUUUUAACCAUGAACCCAAUUUACUGUAAUACCUACAGCAAGUGACCAAAAUGUUCUGUAAAUCUUGAACGUGUUUGAGGCAUUCUAGAUCAGAAAUCAAGAGAUGCUUUGCUUCCACGAAAUCUUCAAGUCAAACAAGAACAUCCAGAAGAGUUUAUUAGGACAUUCCUGAAAUCUAAAAGAUGAAGAGAGAAAUACGAAGAGAAAUGCAGUUCCACCAGAGUCCAAAUUCCCCUGGCCUCUGCAAGCUAGUCAGUAUUUCUCAGACUGAGCAGAAGGAAAAAAAUGAAUCCCGAAAUAGAUACAAAUCUAAAAAUUAGCUUGAGCUGAAGAAGAGAAAAGCUCUGAAAAGAGCACAGAAAUUGUCCCUUAGUGGUGGCGUGUGAGACGUGGUGGACCACAGAGAGCUCAUGGACAUGGGUUCAAAAAUGCAGAAAGCACAGCAUGAAAGCAGUGCGUCACAGGUGGGUAGGAGGGAGCCUUUGGGACAUCACCUUGAGAUGGUGAUGUGCUGUUCUUCUGGCUUUUCCCUUGUGUAGCCCCUGACAGAUCUGGAACAGAAUCAGAGUUCAUCUCCCCAAGCCCUAGUUCAUAGAAUCAUAGCACCAUAGAAUGUCCUCAAUGGGAAGAGACUUCAAAGAUCACUGCGUUCCAAGCCCCUGUCAUGGACAGGGUUGGCAGCCUCUAAAUCAGGCACUAACUCAGGCUGCCCAAGGCUCCAUCCCACCUGGCCUUGAAUACCCUUUGGUGCAGAUGGGAUAUCCGCUGUGGUCAGGCAUGUCGGCCCUAACCUGCCAGUGGACUUGGCAAUGGAGCACACGGGCAGUUCAUGUGAAGGCAGC